rnacentral:rRNA from 1 species
CACGUGGGGUGCGAGCGUUGUCCGGAAUUAUUGGGCGUAAAGAGCUCGUAGGCGGUGUGUCGCGUCGGCCGUGAAAACCUGCAGCUUAACUGUGGGCUUGCGGUCGAUACGGGCAUCACUGGAGUUCGGCAGGGGAGACUGGAAUUCCUGGUGUAGCGGUGAAAUGCGCAGAUAUCAGGAGGAACACCGGUGGCGAAGGCGGGUCUCUGGGCCGAUACUGACGCUGAGGAGCGAAAGCGUGGGGAGCGAACAGG